rnacentral:rRNA from 1 species
GAUGAACGCUGGCGGCGUGCUUAACACAUGCAAGUCGAACGAAGAUGCCGGAGUGCUUGCACUUUGGCAGACUGAGUGGCGGACGGGUGAGUAACGCGUGGGUAACCUGCCUUAUACAGGGGGAUAACAGUUGGAAACGACUGCUAAUACCGCAUAAGCGCACGGUAUCGCAUGAUACAGUGUGAAAAACUCCGGUGGUAUAAGAUGGACCCGCGUCUGAUUAGCUAGUUGGUGAGGUAACGGCCCACCAAGGCGACGAUCAGUAGCCGGCCUGAGAGGGUGAACGGCCACAUUGGGACUGAGACACGGCCCAAACUCCUACGGGAGGCAGCAGUGGGGAAUAUUGCACAAUGGGGGGAAACCCUGAUGCAGCGACGCCGCGUGAGUGAUGAAGUAUUUCGGUAUGUAAAACUCUAUCAGCAGGGAAGAUAAUGACGGUACCUGACUAAGAAGCACCGGCUAAAUACGUG